rnacentral:rRNA from 1 species
GACGGAGGGUGCAAGCGUUGCUCGGAAUCACUGGGCGUAAAGGGCGCGUAGGCGGCCUGUUAAGUCGGACGUGAAAUCCCUCGGCUCAACCGGGGAACUGCGUCCGAUACUGGCGGGCUUGAAUUCGGGAGAGGGAUGUGGAAUUCCAGGUGUAGCGGUGAAAUGCGUAGAUAUCUGGAGGAACACCGGUGGCGAAGGCGGCAUCCUGGACCGACAUUGACGCUGAGGCGCGAAAGCCAGGGGAGCAAACGGG